rnacentral:rRNA from 1 species
GACGAACGCUGGCGGCGUGCUUAACACAUGCAAGUCGAACGAUGAAGCCGGAGCUUGCUCUGGUGAAUUAGUGGCGAACGGGUGAGUAACACGUGAGUAACCUGCCCUUGACUCUGGGAUAACUGCUAGAAAUGGUAGCUAAUACCGGAUACGACCCUCGGAGGCAUCUCCAGGGGGUGGAAAGAAUUUCGGUCAAGGAUGGACUCGCGGCCUAUCAGCUAGUUGGUGAGGUAACGGCUCACCAAGGCGACGACGGGUAGCCGGCCUGAGAGGGUGACCGGCCACACUGGGACUGAGACACGGCCCAGACUCCUACGGGAGGCAGCAGUGGGGAAUAUUGCACAAUGGGCGCAAGCCUGAUGCAGCAACGCCGCGUGCGGGAUGACGGCCUUCGGGUUGUAAACCGCUUUCAGCAGGGAAGAAGCCGCAAGGUGACGGUACCUGCAGAGGAAGCACCGGCUAACUACGUGCCAGCAGCCGCCGUAA